GGAGAGGUGGCCGAGCGGCCGAAGGCAGCCGCCUGCUAAGCGGUUGGUCGGGUAAAACUGGCCCCCGGGUUCGAAUCACGGCCUCUCCGCCA
rnacentral:tRNA from 1 species